AGGGAUCAUUACAGAGUUCUCGCCCUCACGGGUAGAUCUCCCACCCACUGUUAUCGUUACUGUCGUUUCUUUGGCGGGCCGCCGGCGUCUAAUAGGCGGCGUGUGCCCGCCAGAGGCCACUAAACUCUGAAUGUUAGCGUCGUCUGAGUACUAUAUAAUAGUUAAAACUUUCAACAACGGAUCUCUUGGUUCUG
rnacentral:misc_RNA from 1 species